UGACUCUCGACAACGGAUAUCUAGGCUCUCGCAUCGAUGAAGAACGUAGCAAAAUGCGAUACUUGGUGUGAAUUGCAGAAUCCCGUGAAUCAUCGAGUUUUUGAACGCAAGUUGCGCCCAAAGUCAUUAGGCCGAGGGCACGUCUGCCUGGGUGUCAC
rnacentral:rRNA from 1 species